AUUGAACGCUGGCGGCAUGCCUUACACAUGCAAGUCGAACGGUAACGCGGGGCAACCUGGCGACGAGUGGCGAACGGGUGAGUAAUGUAUCGGAACGUGCCCAGUUGUGGGGGAUAACUGCUCGAAAGAGCAGCUAAUACCGCAUACGACCUGAGGGUGAAAGCGGGGGAUCGCAAGACCUCGCGCAAUUGGAGCGGCCGAUAUCAGAUUAGGUAGUUGGUGGGGUAAAGGCUCACCAAGCCAACGAUCUGUAGCUGGUCUGAGAGGACGACCAGCCACACUGGGACUGAGACACGGCCCAGACUCCUACGGGAGGCAGCAGUGGGGAAUUUUGGACAAUGGACGCAAGUCUGAUCCAGCCAUGCCGCGUGCGGGAAGAAGGCCUUCGGGUUGUAAACCGCUUUUGUCAGGAAGAAACGCUCUGGGUUAAUACCUCGGGGUAAUGACGGUACCCGAAGAAUAAGCACCGGCUAACUACGUGCCAGCCGCCGCGGUAAUAC
rnacentral:rRNA from 1 species